rnacentral:lncRNA from 1 species
UGAGUUUUUCUCUUAGAAAUGCUUUCAUUCUGUCCCAUAUGUAUGGGUAUGUUGUGGCUUCAUUUUCAUUCAACUCUAAAAAGUCCUUAAUUUCUUUCUUUAUUCCUUCCUUGGCCAAGGUAUCAUUGAGAAGAGUGUUGUUCAGUUUCCAUGUGAAUGUUGGCUUUUUAUUAUUUAUGUUGUUAUUGAAGAUCAGCCUUUGUCCAUGGGUAUCUGAUAGGAUACAUGGGACAAUUUCAAUAUUUUUAUAUCUGUUGAGGCUUGUUUUGUGACCAAUUACAUGGUCAAUUUUGGAGAAGGUACCAUGAGGUGCUGAGAAGAAGGCAUAUCCUUUUGUUUUAGGAUAAAAUGUUCUGUAGAUAUCUGUUAGAUCCACUUCUGUUAGUUUCACUGUGUCCGUAUUUAGUUUCUGUUUCCAUCAUCUGUCCAUUGAUGAAAGUUGUGUGUUGAAGUCUCCCACUAUUAUUAUGUGAGGUGCAAUGUGUGCUUUGAGCUUUACUAAAGUUUCUUUAAUGAAUGUGGCUGCCCUUGUAUUUGGAGCAUAUAUAUUCAAAAUUGAGAGUUCCUCUUGGAAGAUUUUAUCUUUGAUGAGUAUGAAGUGCCCCUCCUUGUCUUUUUGAUGACUUAGGGGUAGAAGUCAAUUUUAAUAGAUAGUAGAAUGGUUACUCCUGCUUGUUUCUUCAGACCAUUUGCUUGGAAAACUGUUUUGCAGCCUUUCAUUCUGAGGUAGUGUCUCUCUGUUUCCCUGAGAUGAGUUUCCUGUAAGCAGCAAAAUGUUGGGUCCUGUUUGUGUAGCCAGUCUGUUAGUCUAUGUCUUUUUAUUGGGGAGUUUAGUCCAUUGAUAAGAGAUAUUAAGGAAAACUAAUUUUUGGUUCUUAUUAUUUUUGUUGUUGAAGUUGGCAUUCUGUUCUUGUGGCUGUCUUCUUUUAGGUUUGUUGAAGGUUUACUUUCUUGCUUUAUCUAGGAUGUGUUUUCUAUCCUUGUAUUUUUUUUUCUGUUAUUAUCCUUUGAAGGACUGGAUUCGUGGAAAGAUAAUGUGUGAAUUUGGUUUUGUUGUGUAAUACUUUAGAUUCUCCAUCUAUUGUAAUUGAAAGUUUGGCUGGGUAUAGUAGCCUGGGCUGGCAUUUGUGUUCUCUUAGUGUCUGUAUAACAUCUGUCCAGUAUCUUCUGGCUUUCAUAGUUUCUGGUGAAAAAUCUGGUGUAAUUCUGAUAGGCCUGCCUUUAUAUGUUACUUGACCUUUUUACCUUACUGUUUUUAAUAGUCUAUCUUUAUUUAGUGCUAUUGUUGUUGUGAUUAUUAUGUGUGGGGAAGAAUUUUUUUCUGGUCCUGUCUAUUUGGAGUUCUGUAGGCAUCUUGUAUGUUCAUGGGCAUCUCUUUCUUUAAGCUUGAGAAGUUUUCUUCAAUAAUUUUGUUGAAGAUAUUUGCUGGCCUUUUAAGUUGAAAAUCUUCAUUCUCAUCUACUCCUAUUAUCCAUAGGUUUGGUCUUCUCAUUUUGUCCUGGAUUUCCUGGAUGUUUUCAGUUAGGAUCUCUUUGCAUUUUGCAUUUUCUUUCAUUGUUGUGCUGAUGUUCUCUAUGGAAUCUUCUGCACCUGAGAUUCUCUCUUCCAUCUCUUGUAAUCUGUUGCUGAUGCUCUCAUCUAUGGUUCCAGAUUUCUUUCCUAGGAUUUCUAUCUACAUUGUUGACUCACUUUGGGUUUUCUUUAUUGUGUCUACGUCCCUUUUUAGGUCUAGUAUGAUUUUUGUUUAUUUCCAUCACCUGUUUGGAUGUGUUUUCCUGUUUUUCUUUAAGGACUUCUACCUGUUUGGUUGUGUUCUCCUGUUUUUCUUUAAGGACUUGUAACUCUUUUGCAGUGUUCUCCUGCAUUUCUUUAAGUGAGUUAUUAAAGUCCUUCUUGAUGUCUUCUACCAUCAUCAUGAGAAAUUCCUUUAAAUCUGGGUCUAGCUUUUUGGGCGUGUUGGUGUGCCCAGGACUGGUUGAGGUGGGAGUGGUGGAUUCUGAUGAUGGUGAGUGGUCUUGGUUUCUCUUAGUAAGAUUCUUAUGUUUGCCUUUUGCCAUCUGGUAAUCUCUGUAGUCAGUUUUAUAGUUGUCUCUGGUUAGAGCUUGUUCCUUUCGUGAUUCUGUUAGCCUCUAUCAGCAGACCUGGGAGACUAGCUCUCUCCUGAGAUUCAGUGGUUAGAGCACUCUCUGCAGGCAAGCUCUCCUCUUUCAGAGAAUGUGCACAGAUAUCAGGCGUUCGGACCUGUCUCUUAGCAGAAGAUGAAGACUGGAAACAGGGUCUGUCCCAUAAGACGUUAGCUUCUGUAGUCCACACUCUCACUUGUGCAGACUAGUCUUGGCGGGAUCCAGGAACCAAGAUGGCUCCCUCAGGUGCUCCUGGGUGGGUUGGACACCUCUCCUCUGGCAGGGAAGGUUACUGGAUAUCUGGAGCCUG